AUGAUAGAGAUAUUGUGAAUACCUGAGUUUGACAUAAACGUUAUAUGGAAGUAAGGCCCUGUUCGUUUCCUUGUCGCUGGAUCCAGAGAUAUUGCGGUCGCUGGUCGCUGGCGACUGUCGCUACUUUUGAUCGCUGAACCAGCGACAGACAAACGAACAACUUUUGGUCGCUGUCGCUGGUUUCAGUCGCCAGCGACAGGCAAACGAACAGGGCCUAAGAAACAGUUACAGGUGGAUCUUUUUAGAAGUAAGAACUGGUAUAUACAGUACCAGAUUUGGAUUGGCUUCAAGGCCUUGCAAAACAUAAUCCCAAGUGAACUCCAGUCCUCGAGCACCAACCCAGAGAGGUGCCAAUCUGUGCAAAACAGAAUCCGCGAAUGCCCACCCUGAUACAAAAAAGAACAAAUCUCUCAAA
rnacentral:sRNA from 1 species